GACGAACGCUGGCGGCGUGCUUAACACAUGCAAGUCGAACGUGAUUUUUGUGGAAAUUCUUUCGGGAAUGGAAAUGAAAUGAAAGUGGCGAACGGGUGAGUAACACGUGAGCAACCUACCUUACACAGGGGGAUAGCCGUUGGAAACGACGAUUAAUACCGCAUGAGACCACAGAAUCGCAUGAUAUAGGGGUCAAAGAUUUAUCGGUGUAAGAAGGGCUCGCGUCUGAUUAGCUAGUUGGAAGGGUAAAGGCCUACCAAGGCGACGAUCAGUAGCCGGUCUGAGAGGAUGAACGGCCACAUUGGAACUGAGACACGGUCCAAACUCCUACGGGAGGCAGCAGUGGGGAAUAUUGCACAAUGGGGGGAACCCUGAUGCAGCGACGCCGCGUGAGCGAAGAAGGUUUUCGAAUCGUAAAGCUCUGUCCUAUGAGAAGAUAAUGACGGUAUCAUAGGAGGAAGCCCCGGCUAAAUACGUGCCAGCAGCCGUGGUAAUACGUAUGGGGCGAGCGUUGUCCGGAAUUAUUGGGCGUAAAGGGUACGUAGGCGGUUUUUUAAGUCAGGUGUGAAAGCGUGAGGCUUAACCUCAUUAAGCACUUGAAACUGGAAGACUUGAGUGAAGGAGAGGAAAGUGGAAUUCCUAGUGUAGCGGUGAAAUGCGUAGAUAUUAGGAGGAAUACCGGUGGCGAAGGCGACUUUCUGGACUUUUACUGACGCUCAGGUACGAAAGCGUGGGGAGCAAACAGG
rnacentral:rRNA from 1 species